UCUUAGGUUUAGUCUUAUCAUAGUAUCCUGGAUUUCCUGGAUGUUUUGGCUAGUAGUUUUUUAUGUUUUGAAUUUUUUGUGACAGUUGUGUCAAUAUCUUCUAAGGUAUCUUUUACACUUGAGAUUCUCUCUUUUAUCUCUUGUAUUUUGUUGGUGAUGCUUACAUCUGUAAUUCCAGACCUCUUUUCUAGGCAUUUCAUUUAAGGGGUAGCCUCCCUUUGUGUUUUCUUUAUUGUUUCUACUUCCACUUUUAGAUCUUGGACAGCUUUGUUCAAUUACUUCACCUGUUUGAUUGUGCUUUCCUAUAUUUCUUUCAUCGAGUUAUUUAUAUUCUCCUUAAAGUACUCUAUUUUCUUCAUGAGAUAGGAUUUUAGGUCAGCUUCUGGAUUUUCAGGUGUGGGAGAACUGGGUUCUGAUGAUUUCAAAGUAUAUUGGCUUCUGUUGCUUAUGGUCUUGUGAUUUUCUCUGACAUCUGGUUAUUUCUGGUGUUAUCUGGUUUGGGUGUCUCUGUCUGGCUUCUGCCUCCUGUGUCCCUGGGUUGCUGCAGGUCUCUUGAGAGGCUGUGGCCCUGGCUGUAGCAGACCUCCUGUGAGGCCUUCAGAUUGUGGAGUCUUUAGAGGAGCAGUCAAGCUGUUGUCCUGUGUGAUGGUUUGUAUAUGCUUGGCCCAGGGAGUGGCAGGAUUAGAAGCUGUGAUCCUGUUGGAGUAGGUGUGUCACUGCUGUGGGUGUCGGCUAUCAGUUUCUUAUUCUAGCUGCCUGGAAGUGAGUAUUCUGCUAGCAGCCUUCAAAUGAAGAUGUAGAACUCUCAGUUCCUCCUGCACCAUGCCUGCCCAGAUGCCACCAUGUUCCUGCUUUGAUGAUGAUAAGCUGAACCUGUAAACUAGCUCCAAUUAAAUGUUGUCCUUAUAAGAGUUGCCUUGGUUACCCUAACUAAGACACCCUGCAAGUAGCUGUUGGGAGGCCUUCUGACUGUGGGGUCUUCAGAGAAGCAGACAAGCUAGUGAUCUGCCUGGGCAGAAGGGGCAGCAAAACUUCUGGAAG
rnacentral:lncRNA from 1 species